rnacentral:misc_RNA from 1 species
CCUUGGCCCCUGUUGCGAUCCCAACCACCAUCUUCAUACUCGGCAACAAAUCCAUUUCCUCUACCCCUUGCCCUCCCUCUACCACCGCGACCCUUACCUCGGCCAUUUGGUGAGCCCUCUCUUUCAUAAUCAAAUUCUGGUGAUCCCUUCACCAGUUCUGCAGGUAAAGGAGGCUGGUACCCAGCAGCAGAUUUAUCAAGCUCCUUCUUGGAAAGGGUAACUGUAACCAUUGAAACAUGCCUUGUGGUUUCCAAAGGAAGUAGGCCUUCCUCAAGAGGCUCCCAUGUAUCAGUUAUGUCCGUGGAUCCAAUUGUUGUGAUCUGAUGAAGGCCAACAAUUCUUCUCUUGAUUAACUCCACUAUAGUCACAGUUUUGUUGAUGGCUCUUCCCAUUGCUUUGAAUACAAUUUCAUUCGACCCUUUUUCUUGAAGCAGACUCAUGGCAUAUGAGAUGUAACUGCGCAUCCUUCCCAGACUAGUAAUGCGAAUCUCAUUCUCGUCAAUUGUUAUAUCCGCUUUGGGCUUCUCCACUCUCUGGUAUCGAUCCAUCUUAAAGAUUCGUAGAUAAGUUUGCUCGGCCAAGACAAAGCACUCUUCUCCGGCUUCGUUUUUUCUUUU